UUUUUAUACUAUGACAAGAGAUUAGACUAUGUUAGAUUGUGUCAUUUUUCUAAACCAUUAGAAAAUUUUUGCACUCUGUUUUUCAUCUUCCUAUCACUUUGUGUUAAAAGAUAUUCCCUUGAUUUUUCUAAUUUCCUUUUUACUUCUUUAAUAUCCUAUAACCCUUUUUAGGAAUUUUCUUUUUAGUUUCAACUAUUUUUUUCUCAUUCAUCUCUGUUUUGUACUGUUUUCAUAUCUCUACUUGAAUACUGAUGCUUGAACAAUGCCUCCUUUUGUGCAUGGAGAAGUAUACGUCUUGGACGACGGAGAAGAGGUUAAAAAAACAUCCUUUAAUCAAGCUUAGUUUGUUUAGAUUUGUACAUUUGGUUUCACUUGAAUUUAGUUUUUUUUUUUUUUUUUUUUUAAACUACAGUGUUAAAUCUUG
rnacentral:lncRNA from 1 species